CACCAGGUUGAUUCUGCCUGACGUAUGCGCUUGUCUUGAAGACUUAGCCAUGCAAGCUAGCGAAGCAUUUUAUUGUGGAGCGGCAGACAGCUCAGUAAUACAGUUAUUAUUUACCCGUAAAAGUGGAAUAACCUUGGAAACCUAAGGCUAACACCACAAUCUUAUCAACAAUUGUUGUUAAUACUACGGUUAAGUUUCUGGCCUAUUAGCUUGUUGGUAGGGUAAAGGCCUACCAAGGCAAUGAUGGGUAACGGAGAAUCAGGGUUUGAUUCCGGAGAGAGAGCCUGAGAAACAGCUCUCACGUCCAAGGAUGGCAGCAGGCGCGAAACUUGCCCAAUAUAAUAUUAUGAGGUAGUGAAGAGACAUGACUUUUUGUAGAGAGGGAUGCAUAAACACCAUUCCGAUCGACUGGAGGGCAAGUCUGGUGCCAGCAGCCGCGG
rnacentral:rRNA from 1 species